ACUCCUACGGGAGGCAGCAGUGGGGAAUAUUGGACAAUGGGCGCAAGCCUGAUCCAGCCAUGCCGCGUGAGUGAUGACGGCCUUAGGGUUGUAAAGCUCUUUCAGUGGUGAAGAUAAUGACGGUAACCACAGAAGAAGCCCCGGCUAACUCCGUGCCAGCAGCCGCGGUAAUACGGAGGGCGGUCAGCGUUGUUCGGAAUUACUGGGCGUAAAGCGCGCGUAGGCGGAUCUUUAAGUCAGGGUGGAAAUACC
rnacentral:rRNA from 1 species